CCUACGGGAGGCAGCAGUGAGGAAUAUUGGUCAAUGGCCGGAAGGCUGAACCAGCCAUGCCGCGUGAAGGUCAGUGCCCUAUGGGCUUUAAACUUCUUUUGUGCGGGAGCAAUAAUGGUCACGUGUGGCCAGACGACAGUACCGUACGAAUAAGCAUCAGCUAACUCCGGGCAAGCAGCCGCGGUCAUACGGGGGGUGCAGGCGUAAUCCGGAUUUACGGGGUGUAAACGGAACGUAGGCGGUUUAGCAAGUCAGAAGUGAAAUCCCGGGGCUCAACUCCGGUACUGCCUUUGAAACUGGCAAGCUGGAGUGUGUGAGAGGGUAGUGGAAUUCCAGGUGUAGGAGUGAAAUCCGUAGAUAUCUGGAGGAACAUCAGUGGCGAAGGCGACUAUCUGGCACAUAACUGACGCUGAGGAGCGAAAGCGUGGGUAGCAAACAGGAUUAGAUACCCUAGUAGUC
rnacentral:rRNA from 1 species